UAUAUUAAAGUUGUUGCAGUUAAAAAGCUCGUAGUCGGAUCUUGGGAUCGGACGUGCUGUCGGCCAAUGGUCGGACGGUUUGUUUGAUUCUUUUUUUCUAGGAGGGCGUCACCAUUAAUUUGGGGGCGAUUCCGCUUAGAUCGUUUACUUUGAAAAAAUUAGAGUGUUCAAAGCAGGCCAUCGCUUGAAUACAUUAGCAUGGAAUAAUGGAAUAGGACUGCGGUUCUAUUUUGUUGGUUUCUAGGACCGAAGUAAUGAUUAAUAGGGAUAGUUGGGGCCGUUUGUAUUCCGUUGUCAGAGGUGAAAUUCUUGGAUUUACGGAAGACAAACUUCUGCGAAAGCAUUCGGCAAGGAUGUUUUCAUUGAUCAAGAACGAAAGUUAGGGGAUCGAAGACGAUCAGAUACCGUCGUAGUCUUAACCAUAAACUAUGCCGACUAGGGAUCAGUGGACGUUGUUUUACGACUCCAUUGGCACCUUGUGAGAAAUCAAAGUUUUUGGGUUCCGGGGGAAGUAUGGUCGCAAGGCUGAAACUUAAAGGAA
rnacentral:rRNA from 1 species